GACGUGGAUGACAUCAAUGAGACAGCAAGAAAUCGACAGCGUAAAUGGAGGAAACCUAACCAUUCCCUGCCUUGUUCCGGGAACCUUCAAGCCAUCUAAUUUCACCCUCAAAUGGAUCAUCACAAAACCAAAAGCAACCAAACCGGAGGUUAUCCUCACGUUCAACAGCCUAACCCUACAUAUCUCCAACCCCUGGAAGAACCAGGCAAGAGUGGACCCUCACCAGGUUCUCUCAGGAAAUGGGACCCUUUGGCUCCAGAACUUGGAAAAUUCAGCACAGACAGAAACCUACACCUGUGAAUUUUCAGCCUUCCAAUUCCAACAUCUGGUUCACACUGAUGUCACUCUUGGAGGGAACCAGUUACC